AUGGAAAACAAUUCGAUAAUCACAGUUUUAGAGCCUUCUGCACCAGCUACCACAUCGACCACAGGCUGACUUCAGUUGCUCACCCGCAGGCAAAUGGGCAAGCGGAAGUGACCAACCGAACCAUACUGUGGGAUUUGAAGACAAGAUUAGAAAAAGAAAAAGGACUUUGGGCUGAGGAGUUGCCCAAUGUACUGUGGGCAUAUCACACUACCCCCCGAGAGUCGAUCGGGGAGACGCCAUUCAAACUGGCCUUUGGGAUGGAAGCCGUGGUUCCGGUUGAGAUCUUAAGCGAGACAGGAAGGAUGAAAGUCAAGCAACCCGAUGACGUGGCAACUAGGGGAGAACUCGACCUCCUCGAAGGGGUAAGGGACAAGGCGGCGAUAAGAAUGAUGGCUUAUAAACGAAGAGCCGCUGAGUACUUCAACCGGAGAGUGAAGCCAAGGGUCUUCCAGCCAGGAGAUCUCGUUCUAAGAGAUGCAGCAGCGGCAGGACACCCCCCACCAAAGCUUGGUCCAAACUGGGAAGGCCCGUACGAAGUGAUUCGCAGGCUGGGAAAGGGAGCUUACAGCUUGAAAGAUAUAAAAGGAAGGCCGCUAGGUAGACCAUGGAAUGCAGAACACCUCAAAAAGUAUUACCAGUAGAACUCAAAAUGUACUCGCCGGCUGCGCUUUUGUAAAUAUAGUAGAUUAGUUUGCAUUGCUUAUUUUCUCUAUGUAAUGCCCCACAAAGGCACCCUUAGUUGUAACAAUUUAUCUUAUUCAAUGAAAGACCUUGGCGGUGACGGAUGAUGAGGGCACUACGGAAGGGC
rnacentral:lncRNA from 1 species